rnacentral:rRNA from 1 species
UGGCGCCGGCGCACGGUGAGUAACGCGUAUGCAACUUACCUAUCAGAGGGGGAUAGCCCGGCGAAAGUCGGAUUAAUACCCCAUGAAACAGGGGUCCCGCAUGGGAAUAUUUGUUAAAGAUUCAUCGCUGAUAGAUAGGCAUGCGUUCCAUUAGGCAGUUGGCGGGGUAACGGCCCACCAAACCGACGAUGGAUAGGGGUUCUGAGAGGAAGGUCCCCCACAUUGGUACUGAGACACGGACCAA